AUACGGAGGGGGCUAGCGUUGUUCGGAUUUACUGGGCGUAAAGCGCGCGUAGGCGGUAUAUCAAGUUAGGCGUGAAAGCCCUGGGCUUAACCUGGGAAUUGCAUUCGAUACUGUCUGGCUAGAGUAUGGGAGAGGGAAGCGGAAUUUCCGGUGUAGCGGUGAAAUGCGUAGAUAUCGGAAGGAACACCAGUGGCGAAGGCGGCUUCCUGGACCAAUACUGACGCUGAGGCGCGAAAGCGUGGGGAGCAAACAGGAUUAGAUACCCGAGUAGUCC
rnacentral:rRNA from 1 species